GAUGACGACCUUCUCGCAGCCAGCCGCCGAUAAUUAGCCUGACAGAUUUUAAGAUAUUGGGGCCUAGACCGAUGUAAACCGGCAGGAUUGAUAACGUGUCGAAGUUGUUCCAGUAACCGUAAUACGGUCGACAAAGAGGCGAUCUUACGCGAAAAAAAAGGUCGAUAACGUAGAAUGAAACUUUUCACAUGACGACACGUUUCCGAAAGAGCCGAGAGUUUUGAAGAUUUGUCGAGUAUACUGAGAAUAUCAGAUAAGCGAACUUCAUUUUUAACGAGGUUUCCUAUUUUACGACAAGGUUAGAAUUGCGUUCCGUUAUUUUACAAUAGAGCUAAGAAGAUAUAACGUAGGAUUUGAAUAUCACGUCAGUGGACUGAUUGUAUGUAAAAAAUUGAACGUUCAACAUGAUAUAUUACCGUGAGUUAUAUAGGGUAAUGUAACUAUGACAGUAUAGUGAUAUAUCUUAUACGGAAUGUUGGGCUUUCUGUUGCUAAAAUGGCACGAUCAGGUGAUGACCCAAUUAUUUUGAGCAACGUAGCGCUUGAACUGGGUAUCACAAAGGGAGAGCAACGUCCGAGAUAGUGUUCAGAAUUACGUCAAUGUAGAUGGAAAUAAAGUAAUAAAACGCUAGAUAAAAGGAGUCGUACAAAUCUUUUUAUUAUAGUACAGAUUUCCACAAAAAUGUCUACGUCGCGGAACUUCAUUUACAAUAAACGCUCGGCUAUGUGAAAAAUCUCUUUCUUUUUUUAUCUCGUGUACACAUUUUCAAAUUUGGCAUCGCGCGAUAAAGAGAAUAUACUACUCUCUUUCCUGUUGUCUCGAAUCACGUUCGCCAACAGAAUAAAUAGUAAGAACUAAUUGAUCUAAUUGAUAUGUUCUCGAUAAGGGAGAUAUCGUAGCAUUUUUUAAACACAAGCUUCGAUAAAUCUCUCAUUAUGUGAAUGAUCGUUAAACACUGUUCGAUAUAAAUAUAAAAUAAUAAUAAUUAGACGGCGGAUUUUUAUGGCACAUUAAAGAAUGCAAAAUUGCACAGAGUGCGCAUAAUAUGAAAAAUUAUAUAUACAGGGUGGUUGGUAGUAACUAGUAGUACAAGCGGAAAGGGGGCGAUUCUACGCGAAAAAAGAAGUCGAAAAUAUAGAAUAAAAAAAUUUUUUUUUUAUUUUUUUAAAAAUCUACAGUGAGAUCCGUUAUAACGAGACGCGAUAAAGUGAACGCGUACCGAGCGAAAAUUCAAAGUCGAUUUUCUCGAAAACAAAGCCUCGAACGAAAAAUUUUUAUUCUAUAUUUUCGACUUCUUUUUUCGCGUAGAAUCACCCCCUUUCCGCUUGUACCACCAGUUACCGACCACCCUGUAUAUCGAAACUUUUAUUUACUCUUUCAGAUUCUUCCAAAUUUAACCAAUAUGAUUAGUAUAUUAAAUUUGUAUGAAAUUAUUCGCAAUAAGUACUUUGUAGCUUGUGUAACUAUUUACACUUCCAAAUUGUUUGCAAAUCUGACUAAAGUAAUCAGUAAAGUCGUAUACCACCAGUUACCAACCACCCUGUAUAUAUAGAAGAGCAAUGUACAUGUAAACCACCAUGUAUCCCGGAGAAGUAAUAUUACGUAAAUAAAAAAAAAUCCGCGAUAUAAUAUAAAUGUAGUAUAAAAUAAUAUAAAAUUUAUAAAAUAUGUAUAAAAUAAUGGAUUUGUAUGAAAAUCUAGUGAUCAGUUAUAAGUCUGUUACUGACCAGUAACCUAACCCCAAUUGACAAGAGAAAAAAGGAUUGAAAAACCAGACCCCUUGCUAUACGACAGCAGUAAAAUGACAAUUCACGGAAUCCACCGUUAAAUGACGGCAAUUUCAACUUGGUCCCUCCCACUAAAUCGGGAUCUGCCUUCGGUAAAACGAUACAGACAAUCCUACGCAAGACAUACCAAAAUUUACGAACCUCCGGUGAUUUGAUUCGAUACUGGCGCCACACGGAGAAAAUAAGAAACACAUAGCAGCACACAGUGCCCCGGUACAUACAUAUACACGUGUGCAGAGAUCGUGAUUCACUACGGAACAACAAUAACACGACAGAUUCUUCGUAACGAGCGUCAUAAUUGGAAAGAGAUCUUCAUGCAACAUGAACACAGCGACAUUGUGAUGUUACAUUACUAAUCAGUAUUCGUCACGCUAAACGCGACGCCUUCGUGGAAACGGUGAACGAAGGCAUGCUCGUGACCGAGCAUUAUAUAUAGACUCCGCACGACCGCUAUUAUGCCUUCACUAUUCCUCCACUGAGUUUAUUUAUGUAGAUGUUUUACACAUACACAGCUGUGAAGUAAUAGGUUAUGCACUAGUUGAACCGUCUGUGAAAAAAAUUUAGUAGACGAAAUUGCUCGCGAGAUUCGGAUAAAAAUGAGUAGGGUAGCAUUUCUUUUUACAGAAUAUUUAUCGAGAGAAUAAACAUGGAAACUAACCUCAUAUACUUUCUUUUAUUCUUCACUUCUGACUCUUUUUUUAUUUAUGCAAUAUUACUUUCUUCCUUUUACGUAUAAUUUUAAUAAAUUAAUUUAAUUUUGCACACAAUCGAAUGUAAGCAUUCGUGUAUACAGUGGCACGAAAGUACACCGACUCCGAUAUAAUCUUACCAAUAUAAUCUUUAAACUUUACCAGUACAAUCAUUACAGUCAUGUUUCAUUGUGGCGAUAAUAAAAUAUCGAAGUGUAUUAUGUAACACAUAUGUGCAGUAUGAACAUAAGAGUUUCCUAUAGCGAUUAAAUAAAUACCAGAUAAAUAAAAUAAAUCAGUAACUAGUAUGCUUAUCGAUAACUAAACAUAUUGGAAAAGAAAGGAAAGAGAAUUUGCUUUACUUAAAUAGAUUAAACUAAACUAGCAUUCUUAUCAGCUAGUAG